CCAAGUCCAGGGUUUUAAACCGAAAUACACACUUUAUUCUUUUCAAAACCUCUAGCAAGAUGCUAUUUCGCUGGAUCCAGCAAAAUCUCAUCACUUUCUGAGCACACAGUCCCUGUCACAGAAUUCACCAGAGCAGACAGACAUGCUCCUUGGGCCUCACUGUGCAGAACUUUCCAGCGGUGCUACAAAUAUUUGUGGGUCUGGUUCUCUGCUAGCCGGUAAGUACCUGAAAUGGAGGACCAUGACUUUCUUUCUUAUGUUUUUCUCUUUUUUUGGGUCUUUUUAGAGCCGCACCUGCGGCAUAUGGAGGUUCCCAGGCUAGGGGUCCAAUCAGAGCUGUAGCUGCCAGACUACACCACAGGCACAGCAACGCCAGAUCCUUAACCCAGGGAUUGAACCCCCUAUCCUCAUGAAUACUAGUUGGGUUCAUUACUGCUGACCACAACGGGAACUCCUGUCUGCUUAUUCAAUCAGUCCCUCAAAGUAUUAGAUUAACAUCUCACACUAAGAUUGCAGUUUUUUUCUUUUUUCUUUUUUUUGCCCUGCCAAGUUUUACUUUAUAGGUUUUGAGGCUGUGCUGUUAUGAGUAUACAAAUUUAAAAUUACAACUAGAUCUUCUUGAUGAAUCGAUCUUUUAUGACUAUGACAAAGUCUCUCUUUAUCUCUAGCCAUGCUUUUUGCUUCAAAGUGCACUUUUUCUGAUAUUAGUAUAGCUAUACCAGCCUUCUUUUGGCAAGUAUUUGCCUACAUUUUUUGUCCUUUUAUUUUUAAUAUUUCUAAACUUUAUAAUUAAUUAAAGUGCAUCACUUUGUGGUUGUUUUCACCUAGUCUGAGAACUUUUUGUCAUUUAUUUAUUUUAUUUUUAAGAGCCAUACCCGAGGUUCCCAGGCUAGGGGUCUAAUUGGAGCUGUAGCUGCCAGCCUACACCACAGCCACAUCGAUGCCAGAUCUGAGCUGCGUCUGUGAUCUUACCCCACAGCUCACGGUAAUGCCAGAUCCUUAACUCACUGAGCGAGCCCAGGGAUCGAACCAGCAACCUCAUGGUUCCUAGUUGGUUUCGUUUCCGCUGCACCACGACGGGAGCUCCCGAA
rnacentral:lncRNA from 1 species